CAAUCCUCCCUGAAGCGGGGAGUGGCACCUGCGCGGGCGCGCGCCUCCCCUCCGCCGUCCCUCCCCCCCGCCCCUUUCCAACGUCUGAGCGGCCAAUUGCUGGCGGGGCACGGGGUGCACGCACUCGGUUUUUAACGGUCGCGCUGGGCAGCUCGCCUUGCCCUUACCAUCGGCUAGGGCGCUCCCCAGAAAAGCGCUUUUGAAUUUCAGCUUGGACCUACAUCUCCAUCCACUGCAUCAGGAUUACCUCACUGGGAAAGGAAUAGCCUGACAUGCAAAUCUGUCUUCUCAGGAAGCUUGUUUUCCAGAUAGAAAUCCGACACACAAGAGAAUCUGUUGGAAGCUUAGGACUUUAUGCUUCUGAAUGUUAGGAACUGAAAAUGUCCCUAGAUGAUGAAGUACCUGAAGAUGAAUCGGAUUCAAUUUCUUCAAACAAUGAAGUCAAGCUACUUUUUCAAAUAAAAGAAUGUAACUACAUUCCUAAAUUAGACAUAUACUAUGGAAGAUUUGGACUUGGUGAAAACUAUACAAGAAACCUUUCCAUCUUCUAUAGAAUCUGAUGUCAAAAAUACUGACAAUUCUGUUGGAAAUAGCUUAAUUACUAACAGAAGCAGAAACCGUCUCCUCCUAAGUACAAAUGGGUUGUCCUCUUUCUCAGGGAAGACCAGAAUCUCUGUAAUUCGGAGUGCUGUUGAAUUCCUAACCACUUUUAUGCAAGAUCUACAAAACUCUGGCCAGGCGGAUUCUGAAAUUUGGAGGAAGUGUGAGGCUAAGUGGUUACAGCUAUUCAGUUUGGUGGAAGACCAUCGACAAAAGCAGAUCAUUGUGCAGCAAGAAAAAUUCAGUAACCAGAUCAAACGUAUUCAGGAGGAGUUAAGAAAUUUAGUUAAGUUACAGAAGAAUAAUGCUUCAUGGCCUUCUAAUAACAGACAUUCCCCUGAAAAACAGACAAGCAAUUUUUCUACAUUAGAAAGUCAAAUGGGGUUGUGUUCUGAAAGCUGUGAAAGAAAUGAGUAUGUUGUCAAUUAUCCUAAACUUAAAGAAUCUGAAAUUCGGCCCAAAACAUUUUCUUCACAUCAAGACAGCAGUAUGGAGAGUAUUUCAAUGAAUAAUGGUGGGUAUGGUAAUUUUUAUAUCUCAGAACGAAAUCCUUACAAACCUAAAGAUUCAAAAGAAUUCAAGGAGCACAAAGACAUUUCCAAAGGCAAACAUAUCAACCCUAUGCCCCAGAAAGAUUCCUUUGUAAGUGAUGUCAAGAACAAGAACCUGUGUAUGCAAACUCCAGAAGAGUAUGCCUCAUCACUCAAAGAGGAUGUCUCUAUUUUUCCUGGUGAAUAUGAACAUAGUUUUACCAGUGAAAAUAAAAUUUCUGAAGCACAUUGUGGAAAAACAAACGGCAAAUCUUUAACAUCAUGGGCACAAAAAUUAAAACAAAAUCAACCUAAAAGAGCACAUAUUGAAGAAGGAUAUAUCAAAUCUGCACAAGGAAAUGAACAAAGAAAAAAAGUAUCAAUUGAGAAUUCUGACUUCAGUGCUGCUACAUGUCCUCAUACUUUUUACCUUAAUAAACAAAAUGAGGGCCCAAGUUCUUGGGCUUCUGAAGGAACAGGAAUGAAUUAUUGGAAACUAGAAGACAAGGACAUGUAUGACUCUUUGCCUGAGACUUUGGAAAAAUCAUUUUUAAAUAUCAGCCCCAAGAAAGUAUUAUCAAAUCAGUCUAAUUCUGCUGAUGAGAUGAAGAUGCCAUCACUGAAGGAUAUUUAUCAUACUAAUCAAAGGAAAAAUAAGCAGUUAGCUGAUUGGACUCUUACAUCUGCUUCAAAUCCCAGCCAUCCACCAGAGGUAUUAACUCUAGAUCCAGCCCUACAUAGGAAGCCAAAUCAACAAAUUUCAGGGAUUCAAUCAAAUAACUUUCGAUGUAACCAUAAAAGACUGUCUUUCUCACCAGAAUCUGUAAUAGAGCCUAGUAUUUCUAGCCACUCUGACAUAGAUUCAUUUUCACAAACAAGUAACCUCACUUCCUCUCAGUUAGAUAGAUCCCCCAAAUAUCCUUCAAAUAUCAAAGCUUUACCUUUAGAUUCUUGGAAAAGUCAUGUACUCCCAAAUGAAAGCAGGACCAGUUCUGCUUUUCCUUUAGCACAUACUGUUGUUAGUAAUGAAAUUUCAAUCAACACUGAAGAUGAGGAAAACAAUUCAACCACCAUCACUCAUUUCCGAGUUCCAAGUGUAGACAACAGUUUGCCAGAAGGCAGUGUUUCCGUGUCUUGCCUGGAAGACCCAGUAGAGUUAUCCAAAAUGAGGCAAAACCUGAGAGAGAAACAUGCUCGGCAUGUAGCUGAUCUCCGCGCUUAUUAUGACUCAGAGAUACAUAAUUUGAAACAAGAAUUAGAGAGAAAUGAAACAUCUGCAUAUGGAGAUUUGAAGAAAACAAAUCAGAAUCUGGUUGAGAGAUGUGACCAGUUAGGUGUUGCUCUGAAUGAGGCCAAUGCUCAUGUGAAAAUUCUCGAGAACAAAAAUAAUUUGCUGGAAAUGGAAGUGAGUGAUUUGAGAGAACACUUCAAUGCAGCCAGUAAUGCUUCCAAAAUUUUGCAGGAGCAUAUUGAGGAAAUACGAGCAAGUAAUAAAGAAAAAGAUAACACCAUCAGUCGACUCAAAUCCCGUCUAAAGGAUCUAGAAGAAGCAUUUGAUAAGGCUUACAAACUCUCAGAUGAUAAAGAUGCUAGAAUAAAACAAGAAAAUAAAAUGUUUCAAGCUCUUCUAGGAGAAUAUCAAUCCCUUGGAAAACAACAUGAAAGAAUAAAGGAUACAUUAAAUACAACUGAAAACAAAUUGCUUGAUGCAAAUACUCAGAUUUCUGAUUUGAAAAGAACAAUUUCAAAACUUGAAGCCCAGAUCAAGCAAGUAGAACAUGAGAAUAUGUCAAAACUCCGUAUUAAUGCCAAAAAUCAAAUAUCAUCAACCAUUACCAGUAACACAACAGUGUCUGAUGUUAGCAGGCGGAAGUGGUUGAUACCAGGAGCAGAAUAUUCCAUAUUUACUGGCCAGCCUUUAGAAAGUCAAGAAAAUUUAGUGGAUAACCAGCUCGGGGAUUCCUACACUCUUAGGUACCAUACUCCUCCUGAAAAGGAUUGUCCCCUCAAAGACUCAUCAGCAAAUUUAAAAGAAAGAGAAACUUCAGAAGUAUCAAUCAUCAAAGUUUAUAAAAAUCUUGAAGAAGGAAAAAUAUUUAAAAAUUGGGGCACACAAACAGAGGAUGAUGACACAUCAAAUAAAACAUUAAGUCGCCGUCAAACUGUAGGAUUUGUUCCUGAGGCCACUUUCAGUAGAAAUCGGUCCCCAGAGAAAGGUUCUCAUCAGAGAUCAAAGAAAUAUAAUUCCUCAUCUUCACAGAGGUCAUCAUCUCUCCCACCUUCAAACCGAAAAGCAAGUACUUCAACUAAAAGAGAUAUAAUGCUAACACCAGUGACGAUGGCAUACAGUCCAAAGCGAUCUCCUAAAGAGAAUUUCUCCCAAGGAUUUAGUCACCUACGUAACAAAGAUGAUAGUAAUAAUAGUUCAACUCGAUAUGAUGUUCUUAUGGACGGUUUAGAUACUGUUCCUGUGGCAACAUUGCAACUUAACUCUCCUAGGAAACAACUCCAAUUUCUCUCUGUAGAUGAUUUGGAAGAAAAUAAGCAUCCAGGUGGUUCUGCUACAGAUCACCACAGUAAGCACAGCUCCUGUUCUUCUGACCAGUCAUUGCCAAAUGGAAUAAAGAAGAUAUCAAGCUUGGAAAAGAAUAAGUCAUCUUAUGAACCAUGUAAAACUAAGUCGACAGCAACAUCUCUUGAUAAUGAUUUUGAAUAUUUGGCAAAUGUGAGGACCCUGGGUGAAACGGAACAGCUUUUUGAUGACCUUACAAAGGAAAAGCAGCAGCUUUUUGUGUGUGUUCACAGAUAGAAGCAGCACUGAGCCGAAUGCCUUCUUCUGGAGGAAGAAUAACCUUACAAACAAGAUUGAGCCAGGAGGCCCUGGAAGAUCGUUUGGAAAGGAUUAAUAGAGAACUGGGUCCAAUUCGCAUGACUCUGAAGAGAUUUCAUGUUUUGCACUCCUCUGCAAAUCUCCGAGAUUUGUAGCUAUUAAAUUUUGAGACAUUU